rnacentral:rRNA from 1 species
UACGAAGGGGGCUAGCGUUGCUCGGAAUUACUGGGCGUAAAGCGCACGUAGGCGGGUCGUUAAGUCGGGCGUGAAAGCCCCAGGCUCAACCUGGGAACUGCACUCGAAACUGCCUUUCUUGAGUGCCGGAGAGGAAAGCGGAAUUCCUGGUGUAGAGGUGAAAUUCGUAGAUAUCAGGAGGAACACCAGUGGCGAAGGCGGCUUUCUGGACGGUAACUGACGCUGAGACGCGAAAGCGUGGGGAGCAAACAGG